UUGUAGUUCUCUUGCUCCCUCUACAUAAAAUAUUAUUUAUAAGAGGAGAAUUAGGAUGGGUAUAUUAUUUGAAUGGAGAAUUUGUAAAGGUGAUCCUUGAGAUUAUAUGUGCUCUAGAUACCAGUUUCUCUCGUUUGUAUGGAUACUAAAUUUUUAUCAAGUCUUAUUGCCGUUGUGCGAUAUGACCACCUUUAUCUUUCAAAUCAAGAAGUGCAUGCUAGUUGGGUGAGGCACUGUUUUGUAAGUGAAUGAGGAGACAUACUUAUUUUUUGGUUUAGUCUCUGUUCCUGAUGAGUGCACUUCUGAACUUCAAUGCAUGUUGAACUGCAUGAAAAUUAGAUUAGAAAAUGUAUCUAUUUAUGAUGAUGAAAUCAUUUUUGUGGUGUUUAGGGCAUGUUGAGGAGGCUCAGCAACAAAAUUAAGGCUAUAAGCAACUUCUUUUUUGGUGCUUAUGCUUUUUCUUAGAUAUAUUGCCCAUUCUGCUUUCAUUUUAAUCAGGUUCUUUAUGCUUUCAAAGCUUGUACCAUUUUUUUUCCCACUAUAAGCCCUUAUACAUUUUUUUUUAGUUGGUUGCGCAUAGUUUUUCUCAAGAGAUGUGAGUAUCGAGCAGCAAAUUACACUCUUUUUCUGGUUCUUCUCCAUAACCAAGAAUUCUGUCUGUUGGCUAUGAUUUUACAGAAAAUUUUAUAGCAUUCAAAUAUAUAUAAAAAAAAUCCUACAUUAUGUCAGGACUUGAGUGAAACUUUCUGGUGGAGAAUUUGUUAUCAGUUUCAUCAUCCAGCCAGCAAGCCAUAGUUCUUGAGAUGCAAAAUCUUUAUUCUUUACAUUAUAUUACAUGCGAAAACAUCUGAUUCUUUGAAUUGUUAUUGUUCCCAUGGAGACUUGUGGAUAAUUAGAUUGCAUAUUUAUUUCCAUUUUAAUGUAAUUAAGUUAGGAAAUUGGUAUUUUCUUUCCCUCGAGAGGGAGGGAGACCAACCCAUGCUAUAAUAACCCAAGUUCAGAUUUUUGGGGAUGCACCAUGUAAGAGUCAAGCCUAAAAUCUCUAGUUACUAAUUGAGGAUAGUGAUUGUUGGAGUAAUGCGGAAGUGGAAUGGGUUUAGGUCAGAAAAUAGAAGAUAAUAUUAAGAAAAUAGAGCAAAAUCUGCUGGAAUAUGACAGAGCUACUGCUUCUGCUUGUAUUCUGAUAUUUCUCUUAUCAAAAUGGCUUACAAAUGACUGAGAUACAAGGCCACUUAUGCAGUACCUAACUGACAUUUUGGGAGGAUUGAAAACAAGCCUUAAAUGCUUCUAGUAAGAUUAAAAGUCUGCAACAGAUUUACAUAAAUACUUCUGGAACUAAUACAACCAUUAAUACUUAAUCACUAAGGCUUAAUUACUAAAGCAUCUUUGACUGCUGACUAUUGACCAUCGGGCUCACUUGAAUUUCUGAAUUUUCUGAAAUUACAAAUUAUCUUACAAAUUCCCCUCUUAAUUUGUUAUUUUUAGUUGAAUCUUGAACUUCUCAAACUUCUCUGAAGUGAUAGCCUUUGUGAGCAUGUCUGCUGGCUGCUCAUGAGUGCUUAAAAACUCUAGCUGAAUUUCUUUUUUCUGAACCAAGUCUCGGAUGAAUUGGUGUCUAAGCUCAAUGUGCUUUGUCCUAGCAUGAAACACUGGAUUCUUAGUCAUUGCAAUGGCUGACAUAUUGUCACAAAAUAUAAUUGUUGGCUUCUCUUGCUUCUGCCCUAGGUCAGCAGGUAAUCUCCUUGGCCAAAUAGCUUCACAAGCUGCUUCUGUAGCUGCUGAAUACUCUGCUUCUGCUGAAGAUAGAGCCACAGUUUGUUGCUUCCUUGAACUCCAUGAAAUUGUGUUUGUACCCAAGCAAAAAACAUAGGUCGAGGUACUUUUUCUGUCUUCAAUAGAACCUGCCCAAUCACUAUUAGUAUACCCAGUUAGAGAAUAAUCAAUUUCUUUUGUGUACCUGAUCCCAAUCUUUCUAGUACCAUUAAGGUAUCGAAGAAUCCUUUUUGCUGCAGCAUAAUGUAUGUUGCUUGGUUCAUGAACCUAGAUACCAUGCUAACAGAUUGCAUAAUAUCAGGUCUUGUAUGUGUGAGGUACAGCAAGGACCCAACUAAACUUCUAAACAACCCUUCAUCAGCCUUCUUUGAAUUAUCAUCAGGCUUUAGCUUCUCAUUUACAGCCAUAGGAGUAGCAACUGGUUUGCUGUUAUACAUUUGAAACUUCUUUAAUAAGUCAAGAAUAUAUUUCUCUUGAGAAAUAAAAAUCUCGCCCUUUGCUUGCUUCACUUGAAUACCAAGGAAGUACUUUAUCACUCCCAAGUCUGUCAUUUCAAACUCUUUCAUCAUAGAUUUCUUGAAUUCUUCAAUCAUAUUCAGAUUAUUUCCCAUGUAGAUCAGGUCAUCUACAUAGAGACAUAUCACCAUAAAAUUCUGUCCGCUCCUCUUCACAUAAAGUGAAGGUUCAUUAGAACUUUUUUGAAAUCCAUGCUGCUGGAAAUAACUAUCAAUUCUGCUGUUCCAGGCCGUUGGUGCUUGUUUCAGGCCGUAUAAAGCCUUUUUCAAUCGAUAUACCUUCUCUUCUUUGCCUUCCAACUCAUAUCCCUGAGGCUGCUCCACACAUACCUCUUCUUCUAGCUCUCCAGUUAAGAAUGCUGACUUAACAGCAAGUUGAAAAAUCUGUAAUUCUAACUGAGCUGCAAUAGCAAGCACUAACCUGAUUGUUUCUAUGCGAGCAACCGGUGCAAAGGUCUCAUUAAAGUCUAUGUCAGGCUGCUGUGCAUAACCCUUUGCAACCAAUCUGGCUUUGUGUUUCUGUACACUCCCAUCUUCAUUAUAUUUGGUCUUAUAGACCCAUUUCAAGCUAAUGACAUCUUUUCCUUUAGGAAGGUCUGCAAGCUCCCAUGUCUUGUUUUUCUCAAUCAUGGCAAUCUUUUCAUCCAUUGUCUUUGUCCAUUUCUCAUCUUUAAUAGCUUCUUCAAACAUGUGAGGCUCACAGGAAAAUAAAGUAAAUUCACAGGUUUGGUUAAAACUGACAUGAUGGCAUCUAAAAUCAUCAUACCUAUCAGGUGGACGCCUAUUCCUUUGAGAUCUCCUCAAAACUGGAGUGGAUGAUUCAUCAUGUGAACUAGAUGUAGCCGAAUCUGAGUUCUGUGCUUGAGAAGCAUUUUCAGCAGCUGUAUUUUCAGAACUUGAGGCUUGAUUCUUGUUUACAGCAUCAGAACUACUUGCUGGAGCAAAAUCGGGCAACCAAUUUGAGGUUUGUUGGCUGAUACUCCACUGCCAUAUUGCCAACUCAUCAAAUAUCACAUCUCGGGCCACAAUCAGCUUCGUAUUUUGUGGAUUUAACAGCCUAUAACCCUUUGAUUCAUCACCGUAACCCACAAAUAAGAACUUCUCUCCUUUCUCAUCAAAUUUAUCUUUAUUAGGAGCUUUAUUUAAAGCAUAAGCAGGACAGCCAAAAACUUUUAAAUGGCUUACUUGAGGCUUCUUCCCAUACCAAGCCUCAAAUGGUGUCUUGUUCCAUACUGCCUUGGUAGGUGAACGAUUCAGAAUAUAGAUGGUUGUGUGAACAAUUUCAGCCCACAAGCUGUUUGGAAGACCUUUUCCUUUAAGCAUGUUUCUUGCCAUCUCUACAAUUGUUCGAUUCCUUCUUUCAGCAACACCAUUCUGCUGAGAGCUUCUACCAACUGUAAGCUGCCUUUGAAUUCCCUCUUUCUUGCAAUGCUCCAUGAAGGGAUGAUAUAUGAACUCUCCUCCUCGAUCAGUUCUCAAAGUCUUCAACUUGCAGCCACUUUGCCUUUCUACAAGUGCUUUAAAGUCUAAAAAGAUACUAAAAGCAUCUGAUUUUUGAUUUAUGAAGUAAAUUCAGACCAUGCGAGUAAAAUCAUCAACAAACAAGAGAAAGUAUCUUUUGUUACCAAGAGAGGGAGUCCUAGUAGGGCCAAAAAUAUCAGCAUGCACCAGCUCCAAAGGUGCCUUGGCUCGCCAUGAAUUCUUUGGUAAUGGUAGAUGAUGCAUCUUCCCAAAGAUGCAGCCUUCACAAACUGUCAUUUUGGUCAAUUUGAGGAAGACCAAUCACCAUUUCUCUGUUUUAACAGCUGUAGUCCCCUCUGAUUUAGGUGCCCACAACGUAAGUGGCACAAAAUGGAUUCAUCUACACUUUCACUUUUUAGAGCUAUGUUAUUUGAGUGUGUCAUUGCAAGAGGGAAAACCUUGUUUUUUGUCAUUUCAACCUUUGCCAUGACCACAUUAUUUUUCUUAUCAAUAAUCUUACAUUCAUUGUUAUCAAAAUAAAUCUGAUAUCCUCUUUGAACAAGCUGUCCAACACUCAGCAAAUUAUGGGCUAAAUUAGGUACAUAUAAAACAUCAUGAAUGUACCUUUUACCACCAGAUUUGGUAUUGACAGCGAUUACUCCCUUUCCUUUAAUGCUUUCAGCUUUUCCAUCUCCAAGAAUCACAGAAUUUGAGAUGCUUUCAUCAAUCUCAACAAAAAGAUCUUUGUUCCCAGUCAUAUGAUUGCUGCAACCACUAUCAAGAAACCAUGCAUCUUCUAGCUUCUCUUCUGCAUUCAUGCAAGUGUAAAACACUUGUUCUUCUUCAUUCUCCUUGGUAAAAUUGGCCUCAUUCUUGUCUUGAGUAUUUUGCCGUUGAGGCUGGUUUCCUCUACCACGGCCUCUGCCUCUUCCUCGGCCUCUUGAUUUCCUCGACCACUUCUUUGCUGGUCUUUAUGUUGGAAUUGGUUCCUUUUGUUCUCAUGGUCAUCUUUUGCCAGAUUCACCUUGGAUUGAAAGGCUUGUUCCAAGGGCUGAUUUGAGGAUUUCCGGAUCCUUUCUUCACGAGAUUCAAGGGAUCCGCUCAGAUCCAACAUUGUCAGCUUAGAGAGGUCUUUUGAUUCUUCAAUGGCUGCUGCAGCAUGAUCGAACUUAGGAGGUAAGCUCCUAAGGAUCUUCUCCACGAUCUUCUUUUCUUCAAUUUUGUCGCCGUAGCCUCUUAUUUGGUUUACAAUUUCAGCAACUCUUGUGAAGAAUUCCUUUAUUGAUUCAGAAUCCUUCAUUAUAAGGUUGUCAAAGCUCCUCCAAAGGGACUGCAGCCGUAUAGAAAUGACUUUUUCAUUUCCCUGGAACUUCUCCUUCAAAAUUUCCCAUGCAGCUUUAGCCUUGGUGAUGCCAAAGAUGCGUGGGUAGAUGGUUCUAUUCACGCCUUGAUGAAGAUACCUCAAGGCAAGAGCAUUUUUCUUUGUAUUGUCUUUGAAUAGGGACUGUUGUUCUUCAGUCCAUACAGUACUCGAUCCUUCAGCAGGUGGUUUUUCAUAAUCAUUUUCGAUCAUCUCCCACAGAUCUUGAGAGAUGAGGAAAAACAUCAUCUGUUCACUCCAAUAGCCAUAGUUUUCUCCUUCAAAGAUGGGAACUUGAUUUUGAGAAUAAGAGAACAUGGUGCUGGAUGUAGAGGGAAGAUUUGCAGCCAUGAAAACAAAGCUCUGAUACCAAAUUUGUUGGAGUAAUGCGGAAGUGGAAUGGGUUUAGGACAGAAAAUAGAAGAUAAUAUUAAGAAAAUAGAGCAAAAUCUGCUGGAAUAUGGCAGAGCUACUGCUCCUGCUUGUAUUCUGAUAUUUUUCUUAUCAAAAUGGCUUACAAAUGACUGAGAUACAAGGCCACUUAUGCAGUACCUGACUGACAUUUUGGGAGGAGUGAAAACAAGCCUUAAAUGCUUCUAGGAAGACUAAAAGUCUGCAACAUAUUUACAUAAAUACUUCUGGAACUAAUACAACCAUUAAUACUUAAUUUCUAAGGCUUAAUUACUAAAGCAUCUUUGACUGCUGACUAUUGACCACCGGGCCCACUUGAAUUUCUGAAUUUUCUGAAAUUACAAAUUAUCUUACAGUGAUCAAUAGGGCAAGCUCUUAACUCCAAAGGAAAUAGGGAUUUUUCAGCAGUAAAUGCUGUAUAAAGUGAAAUUAGUUAGUUCAUUGAUUCUGUUUGGCUUUUCUAGUUCUGCCGUUGUUUGCACUAUAAAUAUCACUUAGGGCCCCUAAUGUUUUAGUUCGUUUCCUU
rnacentral:lncRNA from 1 species